GAGGUGGGGGCAGAUCACAUCAACAUCUUGGCGUUGGGCUGGGUCGGCGUGGAGCCCCAGAAAUGUUCCCAAGCCUAUUCUUACCAAGAACCGAUGAGUAAAAUCAGGGGCCUCCCACCUGAGGUCAGGGAACCAGGCCCUGGAGUGGAACUUGGGGUGGAAAAUGGCCUUCUUUGUCAACUGAUUCAUUCUCCAGAAUUCAAUUUGUUCUCCAACUCGGUGGUGUUUGAAAGCAACUUUAUCCAGGCUGAUUUCCAGGUCACUAAGCCCGGGAACUGGAGAGAUGUCUGUGAAGGGUCUGCCACCGUGAUCCUCGGGGUGACCUCCUCGGUGCCCUCCCUGCCACUCCCCAAUGUCCUCCUGAUGGCCAAUGUUACCUGGCCCCAGGGUCCGUUUACCACCUGGAGCACACCUGGUGACGCCCCAGUCAUCAACCUCAGCAGGCUUCUCCCCCUGAAGUACGUGGAGCUACAAAUCUACGACCAGCUCCAGCGUAUCCUGAGGGUUAGGACAGUGACUGAAAAGAUCUACUAUCUGAAGCUCCACAAAAAACACCCAGAGAUUGUGUUUCAAUUCUGGGUCCGCCUGGUGAAAAUUCUGCAGAAAGGCCUGUCCAUCACCACCAAAGACCCAAGAAUCGAAUUCACUCACUGCCUCGUGCCCAAGAUGCCCACCAACUCCACAGAAACAACACCUGAAAACAGCCUCCUGUCAUCCCCCCAGCCCAGCGAGCCCCUCGUGCUGCUGGCGGCUGAGCAGACCAGUGGCAGUUUCUCACAGCUCUCAGGAAAGCCCCAGCUCACAGCAAACAGGAACAAUGACACUGCCAUUGAAAUAGACAACUGCAGCAGCUACAAGAUACCCUCACCAGUGGCAUCUCCAAUCAAUUUGAAUAUAUCCAUGAGAGCUGCCUUGAGCCACAGCCUCUGGGAACAAGAGGACCGGAAUGAGCACCUUCUACAAGUUCCUAUAGCCAGUUCCCUAGGAGAGCACUUGUUGGGAGCCUGACACCUAGGCAAAACAUGCUCUUCCUGGCAUGCGUGUACUUGCUACCACCUCUUACAAUGCUCCUUUCCCACUGUGAGCCAAGUGACCUUGGGAGAGGUCUCCCCAGAUCAAGCCAAAGAAAUGGGCGCCAAGUAACCAGAGACUGCUGGAAUCAUUGCCAGUGGUCCCAUGAAUCACAGCCAGCCUCAAGACCUCAAUUUCUUCACCCGGCCAUGUUAGCAGAGCGAACAACCCUGCGGGCGUGGCUGGGCCGGGUUCUUGGGGCAGCCCGGCGCCACUGCCGGCAUCUACGCACCCUGAACGCGCCCGAUCUGGUCUCAUCUCGGAAGCUAAGCAGGGUCGGGCCUGCCUGCGCCCCCGCUACAGCCCGGGAGGAUGGGGGUCUGCAACUGCAGCACCAGGCGCCACUGCCACACCACCCUGAACGCGCCCGAUCUCGUCUGAUCUCGCAAGCUAAGAUGUGGCCGCAUUUAGGACCCCACCGGAUUGGCUGUGCCUCUCCCAGCCCCCUGGCGGAGCGGACUAACCCUAGCAUUUCAUUGAUUCACAAUAACGCCACCCCACCCGACUAUUUUGAGCCCCAUUUGCCAAUCUGUAGUGGAUCUUUACUGUUUUGGAGUAGUAAAGUCAAUACACCUUUAUAGGUCUAUUUUUGUAGCUACUGCAUUCUGGGUACAAGCUUCUGAUUCUAUUUCAUGGCUUCGAAUGAAGUCGUGCACAAGCAUUUACAUAUUGACUUAUGCAUUGCUUUACAUUUUCCUUGUAUAUUACAGUUGGGGCAGGAUAUCAAUUUUUAAAAUUUAUAUGUAUAGGUAGGUUAUAAUCAUUAUGAAUUUUAUUUCAGGCUAGUGAAACGGUGUGACAAAAUAUUUGUCGUAAAAAGAGGACUUGGGUCUGACAGGGUUGAGAACCACAACACUGGAGGAGUGUUGACCUCCCCAGUACUUCUCUGUUGACUUUGGUGGCACUUAGCUCCUGCACCAUCUCUGCCUCCUCUUACCCCCACCCCACACUGGGGCUGCUUCUCUAGGCUUCUCUGCUCUGCUCUUCCCACACCUUCUCCUCAGCCCUCAGGUCAGCGAGUCCUGGGCAGCCUCUCCUGCUCCCUGGUUCAAUCCCAGCCAUGCCAUCACCCACGCCUCAGAGUCUGUCCUGCCCCUCCUUAGCCCAUGCCACCCUGACUCCAACUAGGUCCUAUAAUCUUCAAUCUCUUCUGGGCUGCCUGUGGGAGGGAGGGUUCCUGCCUAGAUUCUGUUCUGUCCAUAGAAUCAGGUUCCAAAGCUCCCUCAUUUUUAUUUGUUUUAUUGUAUUUAUUUAUUUAGAGACGGAGUCUCACUCUGUCACCUAGAUUGGAGUGCAGUGGCCCGAUCUUGGCUCACUGCAACCUCUUCCUCCUGAGGUCAAGCAAUUCUUCUGCCUCAGCCUCCCAAGUAGCUGGGACUACAGGAGUGCGCCACCAUGCUCGGCUAAUUUUUGUGUUUUUGGUAGAGACGGGGUUUUGCUGUGUUGGGCAGGCUGGUCUCGAACUCCUGACCUCAAGUGAUCCACCCACCUCAGUCUCCCAAAGUGUUGAGAUUACAGGCGUGAGCCACGGCGCCUGGCCAACGCAGCUCGUUAUACAGCCCCUGCUCCAGCCAGCUGAGCCCUGGGGGUUCCCUACCAUGGUCAUGUCAGGGAAUAGGGGAACAUCCUGUAUCAGCUAACUUAUUGUCUUCUCCUGAGGGCUCUUGCUCCUGAAGUCCUGGUUUCUGUCCUUAUCACCACAGUAUUCCAGGGCAGCCAGGUUCAAGUCCUCAUAGUCAUCUCUAACUCUUUGUCUCUUACAUUUAACAAGGCACCAACUGAAUUAAACUCAAUGAACAUUUAAAUGAAUUUUUAAUAAAAAUGUUUAAAUAUGUAUUACAAAAAUAUUAUUCAUAAAGAUUCCAAUAAUACAGAACUAAAGUAAUUUUGGGGCCUGUCUGUCCCUCCCUGCUGCCGUCCCCACCAAAAUAACCCACUUCAUUGAAACAAGCACUUCAACUGCUUUUUAUUUAACAAUUCAUUUGUUCUUGUGUAAUCUGAGGGUGUCAAGUUCUGUAACCUUCUAAGGUCACUGUUUCUUUUAUUAUCUAAAUGAAGUGACUCAAGCCUCUAGGCUACUCCUGUCGUGCCUGAGGAUUUUCGGGGAUGCUUGCAGUCUCCUGAUUUACAAUCACCUUGAUGUCUGAAUCUCACUGAAUCCCACAGCCUAGUGAUUUUUCGUUUGAUUUAUAGCUUAAGUGCAUUGCGAUCUAGAUUUGAAUAUUGCUACAUGCAAUUCAGUGAUUGAAAUUUGCUGAAACUUGCUUUAUUGCUCAUAAUCUGGCCAUUUUUUGCUUGUAAAUUUCCCUAUGUACUUAAAAUUAAAGCAUAUUCUGCAA